ACUUGUUUCCCCUGGGACAGAAACUUUGAAAAGCAGCGCCUUUGGGAGAGGAAUAAGGAAGGGAGUGGGAACUGCACCAUUUUGUACCUAUAUUUCGUAAGCCACUAAGCUUUACCAUGCACCAAGCACCAUUUUUGAAGGCUAGCCAAGCUGUCCAUUUUUCUCAAGCAAGGCGGAUUUCUCCUGUUGCAACAGUCCCUCCUGUGAUAGGCUUGCUUCUACUUGUACGAGGAGCCCUGAAAUCCUUGGCAUCUUCUCCUGGGGGGUCAGGCUGAAGGACCGCACCUCUCACACCUGUGUCUGCUCAGGCCCCUCAGUGUCUGUUGGAUGACAACAAAGAACAACGUCAUUCAACAGACGUCCUUUGCCAAGAGCAGCUCCCACCUGGGAACAUCCACCCCGGAGGAGACAGUCCCUUUGCCAAGAGACAGAGGCUGGUGUCACUGGCUUUGCGAGGAGGAAGACAACUGGCGUCAGGCACUGUGCUGCGGACACGCUAAGAAUUCUGAUUUUAUAGGUUCCUCCCAACCAUUCCGAGUGGGAACAUUUCUGUCCCUUUGUUUUCAUAGAAGAGGGAACAGGAGCUCGGAGGCAGUCAGCGGUUUUCCAGAGCGACAGGUCUGACAGAGAGCCCCGUCUGCCUCCUGCAAACCCGACCGCCUCUUUGUGGGCGAAGGAGGUGCUAUCACAGACGAAAGAAUUAACCAGCCCUGGCUGGGUUUUCUCAGUGGUUAGAGCAUCGUCCCUCAGACUGAAGGGUCACAG